rnacentral:rRNA from 1 species
UACGAAGGGGGCUAGCGUUGCUCGGAAUUACUGGGCGUAAAGGGCUCGUAGGCGGCCAACUAAGUCAGACGUGAAAUCCCUCGGCUUAACCGGGGAACUGCAUCUGAUACUGGAUGGCUCGAGUUUGGGAGAGGGAUGCGGAAUUCCAGGUGUAGCGGUGAAAUGCGUAGAUAUCUGGAGGAACACCGGUGGCGAAGGCGGCAUCCUGGACCAACACUGACGCUGAUGAGCGAAAGCCAGGGGGAGCAAACGGG